CGCUGGCGGCGUGCUUAACACAUGCAAGUCGAACGGUGAUGCGGAGCUGCUCUGCGGAUCAGUGGCGAACGGGUGAGUAACACGUGAGCAACCUACCCUUGACUCUGGGAUAACAGUUGGAAACAGCUGCUAAUACCGGAUACGACCCUGGCGGGCAUCUGCUGGGGUGGAAAGCUCCGACGGUCAGGGAUGGGCUCGCGGCCUAUCAGCUUGUUGGUGAGGUGACGGCUCACCAAGGCGACGACGGGUAGCCGGCCUGAGAGGGCGACCGGCCACACUGGGACUGAGAUACGGCCCAGACUCCUACGGGAGGCAGCAGUGGGGAAUAUUGCGCAAUGGGCGAAAGCCUGACGCAGCAACGCCGCGUGCGGGAUGACGGCCUUCGGGUUGUAAACCGCUUUCAGCAGGGACGAAGGGUUUCUGACGGUACCUGCAGAAGAAGCACCGGCUAACUACGUGCCAGCCGCCGC
rnacentral:rRNA from 1 species